AUGAGAAACCACUCUUCUUCCUCAGUUCAAGCGCGCCGCAACUUCUCACAUCAUCACCUCCAAAGAUUCCUCCACCGUAGCCUUAAAGCUCCAUUUGUCUCAGCUCCGCCUGCUCUGUUAUCAAGCAUUGUUGUUGAUGCAGAGAUCAUGAAGAGUAUGGCAGACGAAGAUGAUGCUGCUACAACAAAGUUGCAAAAGAACUUGAAAUGA